CCCUUAGAUGUUCUGGGCCGCACGCGCGCUACACUGACGCAUUCAACGAGUCUCCUUGGCCGAGAGGCCUGGGCAAUCUUAUGAACCUGCGUCGUGAUAGGGAUAGAUUAUUGUAAUUAUUAAUCUUGAACGAGGAAUUCCUAGUAAACGCAGAUCAUCAAUCUGCAUUGAUUACGUCCCUGCCCUUUGUACACACCGCCCGUCGCACCUACCGAUUGGAUGGUCCGGUGAGGCCUCGGGAUUGUGGCCGGUGCAUUUAUUUGUGUCGGUUGCGAGAACUUGUCCAAACCUUAUCAUCUAGAGGAAGGUGAANUCGUANCA
rnacentral:rRNA from 1 species